rnacentral:tRNA from 2 species
CGGGAUGUAGCUCAGCCCGGUAGAGUACGCGUCUGGGGGGGCGUGUGGUCGCAAGUUCGAAUCUUGUCAUCCCGA